rnacentral:rRNA from 1 species
AUUGAACGCUGGCGGCAGGCCUAACACAUGCAAGUCGAGCGGGGCGGCAGAGGGGGAAGGAAGGCCAAGGAAUCUGCCUGGUAGCGGGGGAGAGCGUCCGGAAACGGGCACUAAUACCGCAUACUAUCAGAUGAGCCUAGGUCGGAUUAGCUAGUUGGUGGUGUAAAGGCAUACCAAGGCGACGAUCAGGAGCUGGUUUGAGAGGAUGACCAGUCACACUGGAAGUGAGACACGGUCCAGACUCCUACGGGAGGCAGCAGUGGGGAAUAUUGGACAAUGGGCGAAAGCCUGAUCCAGCCAUGCCGCGUGUGUGAAGAAGGUCUUCGGGUUGUAAAGCACUUUAAGCUGGGAGGCGUUACCAGCAGAAUAAGCACCGGCUAACUUCGUGCCAGCAGCCGCGGUAAUUC